UGAUGGAGUUGUAGGUGUAUAGGUUGGUGGAGUUGUAGGUGUAUAGGUUGAUGGAGUUGUAGGUAUAAAGGUUGAUGGAGUUGUAGGUAUAUAGGUUGAUGGAGUUGUAGGUGUAUAGGUUGGUGGAGUUGUAGGUGUAUAGGUUGGUGGAGUUGUAGGUGUAUAGGCU
rnacentral:sRNA from 1 species